rnacentral:rRNA from 1 species
UACGGAGGGUGCGAGCGUUAAUCGGAAUUACUGGGCGUAAAGCGCACGCAGGCGGUUGAUUGAGUCAGAUGUGAAAUCCCCGGGCUUAACCUGGGAAUAGCAUUUCAGACUGGGAGUCUAGAGUACUUUAGGGAGGGGUAGAAUUCCACGUGUAGCGGUGAAAUGCGUAGAGAUGUGGAGGAAUACCGGUGGCGAAGGCGGCCCCCUGGACAAAGACUGACGCUCAGGUGCGAAAGCGUGGGUAGCAAACAGG